AACGAACGCUGGCGGCGUGCCUAACACAUGCAAGUCGAACGCGAACGGUCCUUUCGGGGGCCUAGUAGAGUGGCGCACGGGUGAGUAACACGUAGACAACCUGCCUUCCAGCCUGGAAUAACCUUUCGAAAGAAGGGCUAAUACCGGAUAACACUGGGGACCGCAUGGUUCUUAGUUGAAAGGCUUGCUACUGGAAGAGGGGUCUGCGGGGUAUUAGCUAGUUGGCGGGGUAACGGCCCACCAAGGCGACGAUACCUAGCGGGUCUGAGA
rnacentral:rRNA from 1 species